rnacentral:rRNA from 1 species
UACCCCUAGCAAAUCUCAAAAAACCGUCUCAGUUCGGAUUGGGCUCUGCAACUCGAGCCCAUGAAGUUGGAAUCGCUAGUAAUCGUGGAUCAGCAUGCCACGGUGAAUACGUUCCCGGGCCUUGUACACACCGCCCGUCACACCAUGGGAGUUGGUUUUACCUGAAGACGGUGCGCUAACCCGCAAGGGAGGCAGCCGGCCACGGUAGGGUCAGCGACUGGGGUGAAG